rnacentral:misc_RNA from 1 species
AGCAGCCGCGGUAAUUCCAGCUCCAAUAGCGUAUAUUAAAGUUGUUGCAGUUAAAAAGCUCGUAGUUGAAUUUCGGGAUCAAUACGUUGGUCGUGCUUUCGGGUACGUACUGGCGUCAUUGGUUUCUCUCUUCUGACGAACCAUGAUGUCAUUAAUUUGGUGUUAUGGGGAGUUAGGACUGUUACUUUGAAAAAAUUAGAGUGUUUAAAGCAGGCUACAUCGCUUGAAUUAAUCAUUAGCAUGGAAUAAUGAAAUAGGACGUUAUGAUCCUAUUUUGUUGGUUUCUAGGAUUGACGUAAUGAUUAAUAGGGAUAGUUGGGGGCAUUAGUAUUCAAUUGUCAGAGGUGAAAUUCUUGGAUUUAUUGAAGACUAACUACUGCGAAAGCAUUUGCCAAGGAUGUUUUCAUUAAUCAAGAACGAAAGUUAGGGGAUCGAAGACGAUCAGAUACCGUCGUAGUCUUAACCAUAAACUAUGCCGACUAGGGAUCGGAUGAUGUUAAUUUUUUUAAUGACUCAUUCG